GCUGGCGUAGCUCAGUUGGCAGAGCAGCGGUCUUGUAAACCGCAGGUCGUGGGUUCAAAUCCCUCCGCCAGCUCAA
rnacentral:tRNA from 1 species